UACAGAGGGUGCAAGCGUUGUUCGGAAUUAUUGGGCGUAAAGGGUGCGUAGGCGGUGCGGUAAGUCUGUAGUGAAAUCUCUGGGCUCAACUCGGAGUCUGCAUCAGAAACUGCCGUGCUUGAGUGUGGGAGAGGUGAGUGGAAUUCCCGGUGUAGCGGUGAAAUGCGCAGAUAUCGGGAAGAACACCCGUGGCGAAGGCGGCUCUCUGGGACGGUACUGACGCUGAGACGCGAAAGCGUGGGGAGCGAACAGG
rnacentral:rRNA from 1 species